rnacentral:rRNA from 1 species
GGAGUUAGCCGGUGCUUCUUCUGCGAGUAACGUCACAGAUGUAAGGUAUUAACUUACACCCUUUCCUCCUCGCUGAAAGUGCUUUACAACCCGAAGGCCUUCUUCACACACGCGGCAUGGCUGCAUCAGGGUUUCCCCCAUUGUGCAAUAUUCCCCACUGCUGCCUCCCGUAGGAGUCUGGGCCGUGUCUCAGUCCCAGUGUGGCUGAUCAUCCUCUCAGACCAGCUAGGGAUCGUCGCCUAGGUGAGCCUUUACCUCACCUACUAGCUAAUCCCACCUGGGCUUAUCCAUCAGCGCAAGGCCCGAAGGUCCCCUGCUUUCCCCCGUAGGGCGUAUGCGGUAUUAGCAGUCGUUUCCAACUGUUAUCCCCCACAAAUGGGCAAAUUCCCAGGCAUUACUCACCCGUCCGCCGCUCGUCAUCUUCAAAAGCAAGCUUUUGAAAUGUUACCGCUCGACUUGCAUGUGUUAGGCCUGCCGCCACGCGUACAAUCUGAGCCGACGGAGUACAACUACUGA